GUGGAUGUUCCUUCUAUGUUUA
rnacentral:miRNA from 12 species